AUGUGCUUCUGUCUAACCAUGUUGUCCUGGUAUGUGGGCAUGGUUAUUUAGAGCAUAAGA
rnacentral:pre_miRNA from 1 species